rnacentral:rRNA from 1 species
AGCUCCAAUAGCGUAUACUAAAGUUGUUGCAGUUAAAAAGCUCGUAGUUGAAUUUCUGGUCUCGGACAUCGGUCUGCCUCAAACGAGGUACGCACCAGUUGUCUGAAUCCAUCCUCGGAGAAAACGUGUCUGUCAUUCAGUUGAUGGGCUCGGGAUCUUCGUCAUUUACUGUGAGCAAAAUAGAGUGUUCAAAGCAGGCUUAUGCCGUUGAAUACAUUAGCAUGGAAUAAUAAGAUAAGACCUUGGUCUAUUUUGUUGGUUUGUACUCCAAGGUAAUGAUUAAUAGGGAUAGUUGGGGGUAUUCGUAUUCAAUUGUCAGAGGUGAAAUUCUUGGAUUUAUGGAAGACGAACUACUGCGAAAGCAUUUACCAAGGAUGUUUUCAUUAAUCAAGAACGAAAG